rnacentral:misc_RNA from 1 species
GAUGAAGAACGCAGCGAAAAUGCGAUAAGUAAUGUGAAUUGCAGAAUUCAGUGAAUCAUCGAAUCUUUGAACGCACAUUGCGCCCCUUGGUAUUCCGAGGGGCAUGCCUGUUCGAGCGUCAUUAUAACCCCUCAAGCUCAGCUUGGUGUUGGGGCCUGCUGCACUGGCAGCCCUUAAAAUCAGUGGCGGCGCCAUCUGGCUCUAAGCGUAGUAAUUCUUCUCGCUAUGGAGUCCUGGUGGAUGCUUGCCAUCAACCCCCAAUUUUUCUAUGGUUGACCUCGGAUCAGGUAGGGAUACCCGCUGAACUUAAGCAUAUCAAUAAGCGGAGGA